rnacentral:rRNA from 1 species
CUAAGACAUGCGAGUCGAGCGUCUCUAGCUAUGCUUGAGACGCGGCAGACGGCUCAGUAACACGUGGCUAACCUACCCUCAGGACAAGUACAAACCCGGGAAACUGGGGCUAAUACUCGAUAGGCGAAGGCGCCUGGAAUGGUUCUUCACCCAAAGGGCUUUAGAAACAUGCUUCUAGAGUCGCCUGGGGAUGGGGCCGCGUCCGAUCAGGUUGUUGGUGAGGUAACGGCUCACCAAGCCUAUAACCGGUACGGGCCGUGAGAGCGGUAGCCCGGAGAUGGGUACUGAGACAAGGACCCAGGCCCUACGGGGCGCAGCAGUCGCGAAAACUCCGCAAUGCACGAAAGUGUGACGGGGCUACCCCGAGUGCCGUCCGCUGAGGAUGGCUUUUCCUUGGUGUAACUAGCCGGGGGAAUAAGGAGAGGGCAAGACUGGUGUCAGCAGCCGCGGUAA